rnacentral:rRNA from 1 species
GGGAUGGACUCGCGGCCUAUCAGCUUGUUGGUGAGGUAAUGGCUCACCAAGGCGACGACGGGUAGCCGGCCUGAGAGGGUGACCGGCCACACUGGGACUGAGACACGGCCCAGACUCCUACGGGAGGCAGCAGUGGGGAAUAUUGCACAAUGGGCGAAAGCCUGAUGCAGCAACGCCGCGUGAGGGAUGACGGCCUUCGGGUUGUAAACCUCUUUUAGUAGGGAAGAAGCGAAAGUGACGGUACCUGCAGAAAAAGCACCGGCUAACUACGUGCCAGCAGCCGCGGUAAUACGUAGGGUGCAAGCGUUGUCCGGAAUUAUUGGGCGUAAAGAGCUCGUAGGCGGUUUGUCGCGUCUGCUGUGAAAUCCCGAGGCUCAACCUCGGGCUUGCAGUGGGUACGGGCAGACUAGAGUGCGGUAGGGGAGAUUGGAAUUCCUGGUGUAGCGGUGGAAUGCGCAGAUAUCAGGAGGAACACCGAUGGCGAAGGCAGAUCUCUGGGCCGUAACUGACGCUGAGGAGCGAAAGCAUGGGGAGCGAACAGGAUUAGAUACCCUGGUAGUCCAUGCCGUAAACGUUGGGCGCUAGAUG